AGGGUGUAAACGCUGCAGACUUGGUGUUGGAAGUCCUUUGGGGGCAUUCAGUGCCGGAGAGAAGUUGUUAAGUCUGCUACUUGGGGAGUACGUCCGCAAGGAUGAAACUUAAAAGGAAUUGGCGGGGGGGAGGCACCGCAACGGGAGGAGCGUGCGGUUUAAUUGGAUUCAACACCGUAAAACUCACCAGGGAAGACUGUUACAUGAAAGCCGAGAUGAAGACUCUGCUAGAUUUUCAGAGAGGAGGUGCAUGGCGUCAGUGACU
rnacentral:rRNA from 1 species